rnacentral:rRNA from 1 species
CCUACGGGAGGCAGCAGUAGGGAAUCUUUCACAAUGGGCGAAAGCCUGAUGGAGCAACGCCGCGUGCAGGAUGAAGGCCUUCGGGUUGUAAACUGCUUUUAUAAGCGAGAAAUAUGAUGGUAACUUAUGAAUAAGGAUCGGCUAACUACGUGCCAGCAGCCGCGGUCAUACGUAGGAUCCGAGCAUUAUCCGGAGUGACUGGGUGUAAAGAGUUGCGUAGGUGGGAUAAUAAGUAGCUAGUGAAAUCUGGUGGCUCAACCAUUCAGACUAUUAGCUAAACUGUUAAGCUCGAGACCGUUAGGGGUAACUGGAAUUUCUAGUGUAGGAGUGAAAUCCGUAGAUAUUAGAAGGAACACCAAUUGCGUAGGCAGGUUGCUGGGACGGUUCUGACACUAAGGCACGAAAGCGUAGGGAGCAAACGGGAUUAGAUACCCGAGUAGUC